rnacentral:lncRNA from 1 species
GAGCGGAUCUGAGCCGCCGCUAAGGACGGAGACGCGCCUCAAGCUGUCACUUGCUGCCCGGAGUUCGUUCGGAAAGUUGAAAAAGCCUAGUCCUGGUUAGGAAAUCUAUCCAGCUGUGUAUAUACUUUUUGCUUUUAGGGUCUGAAGCUCAGGAAGGAUAAGAAAAACAAAAUCGCACAGCUGGCAAGUGGCAGAGCAGGACACAAUUAUUUUAUAACUCCAGAACAAGAAUUUGCAGUUGUUGCGCCAGAUGCCCUGUAGCACGGCUUGUCUGGGUUCAAGAGAGAAAGUACAGCUCCGGUUUAGUGUUUUUAUGGAUUAUCGACUGUACCCAAGACCAGAAAUGGAAACAACCUAGAUCAUCUUCAACUGAAGAAUGGAUACAGAAACAUGAUACAGAAGUCUGAGCCUUUGAACACGUGAAGAGCUCAUCUGUGUCAACAGAGGCAUCAAAUCCCCUGAAACUGAAGGUAUAAAUGGCUGUGAGCCAGCACCUGGGUGCUGGAAAUCAAACCCAGGUCCUCUGGAAGAGCAUCCAGUGCUCUUAACUGCUGAGACAUCUCUCCAACUCUCCCUUUUCUUUUGAAGCCAUCUCCUACCGAAUCUAGAGCUCCUUGAUUGGCCAGCAGGCAG